GACGAACGCUGGCGGCGUGCCUAAUACAUGCAAGUCGAACGAGUGGCGGACGGGUGAGUAAUGUCUGGGAAACUGCCUGAUGGAGGGGGAUAAAUACUGGAACCGGUAGCUAAUACCGCAUACCAUCGGAUGUGCCAAGAUGGGAUUAGCUAGUAGGGUGGGUAAAGGCUCACCUAGGCGACGAUCCCUAGCUGGUCUGAGAGGAUGACCAGCCACAAGGGAACUGAGACACGGUCCAUGCUCCUACGGGAGGCAGCAGGGGGGAAUAUUGCCCAAUGGUCGCAAGCCUGAUGCAGCCAUGCCGCGUGUAUUAAGAAGUCCUUCGGGUUGUAAAGUACUUUCAGCGGGGAGGCGUUACCCGCAGAAGAAGCACCGGCUAACUCCGUGCCAGCAGCCGCGGUAAUAC
rnacentral:rRNA from 1 species